rnacentral:rRNA from 1 species
UACGUAGGUGGCAAGCGUUGUCCGGACUUACUGGGCGUAAAGGAUGCGUAGGCGGACAUUUAAGUCAGAUGUGAAAUACCCGAGCUUAACUUGGGUGCUGCAUUUGAAACUGGGUGUCUAGAGUGCAGGAGAGGUAAGUGGAAUUCCUAGUGUAGCGGUGAAAUGCGUAGAGAUUAGGAAGAACACCAGUGGCGAAGGCGACUUACUGGACUGAUAACUGACGCUGGAGGCAUGAAAGCGUGGGGAGCAAACAGG